ACGGGAGGCAGCAGUGGGGGAUAUUGCACAAUGGGCGAAAGCCUGAUGCAGCAACGCCGCGUGAGGGAAGACGGUUUUCGGAUUGUAAACCUCUGUCUUUGGUGAAGAUAAUGACGGUAGCCAAGGAGGAAGCCACGGCUAGCUACGUGCCAGCAGCCGCGGUAAUACGUAGGUGGCAAGCGUUGUCCGGAAUUACUGGGUGUAAAGGGAGCGCAGGCGGGACUGCAAGUUGGAUGUGAAAUACCGAGGCUUAACCACGGAGCUGCAUCCAAAACUGUAGUUCUUAAGUGAAGUAGAGGCAGGCGGAAUUCCGAGUGUAGCGGUGAAAUGCGUAGAUAUUCGGAGGAACACCAGUGGCGAAGGCGGCCUGCUGGGCUUUAACUGACGCUGAGGCUCGAAAGUGUGGGGAGCAAACAGGAUUAGAUACCCUGGUA
rnacentral:rRNA from 1 species